UGUGACUCAAGUGACCCAGAAAGCCAAGAGCUUUAGGGUCUUGGAUGAGGAUGCUAGGUGAAAUGCUUAGGUCCAGCUUUCUGAGAAUGAAGCCCCUUUUGUGAGGUCACAGGAGCAACAAUCCCUGCUAGGAGGACACUUGGCCAGUUAGUCCAAGAUCUCAGCAGAGGUGCAGAAUUGUGGGCAAUGGGGCAGAGACUCAAUUUAUUCAGACAGAAGCAACGUGGGGUUCACUUGCCCAGAAACAGUGUCACAUCCGAACAAACUGGAUGAUGGUGGAAACCGUCCCAACUCUCAGGAGAGAUGUAAGAUGUGGCAGGAGACAAGGGCAAACAGAAGGAACAGAAAAUAGCACGUCUCUAGGUUCUGACCUGCACAUCCACUACUGCAUAACUAGAGAUAGACUGAUUCUGCCUCACUUUGAUCUUACAGAAUCGGAGGGGAUACUUCAUGAAGGUCUUUAAGUGUUUAAAUACAAUAAAAUCAGCUUCAUUUAAAAGAAAAGGACUGGAGCUAGGGAUAUGAUUCAGUGGUAGAGCGCUUGCCUGGCAUGUGUGAGGCCCUGGUGUCCCCCCACCUCCACCCCUACCCUACUGCUUGGGCUUGGGCAGAGGAUGGUGAGAUAGGGGCUGCAAUAGGUAGACAAUAUACCUAAAAUGUCAUCAUUGAUUACAGUGACACUUUUUGUGAUAGCAGAGUCAAGAGACCCAGGCAUGUGUUUUCUGCUGACAACAGAUAUUUCUAAUUAGUUAAUUAAAUAAUUUAUAAUCAAAUGAUAGUUCUGAGAAUCUAGAACCAAGCUAGAG
rnacentral:lncRNA from 1 species